rnacentral:rRNA from 1 species
AGGGUUUGAUCAUGGCUCAGGAUGAACGCUAGCUACAGGCUUAACACAUGCAAGUCGAGGGGCAGCAUGGUUUCAGCUUGCUGAGACUGAUGGCGACCGGCGCACGGGUGAGUAACGCGUAUCCAACCUGCCCUUUACUCCGGGAUAGUCUCCUGAAAGGGAGUUUAAUACCGGAUGUGUUUGUCUUUCCGCAUGGGAGCGACAAAUAAAGAUUAAUUGGUAAAGGAUGGGGAUGCGUCCCAUUAGCUAGUUGGCGGGGUAACGGCCCACCAAGGCGACGAUGGGUAGGGGUUCUGAGAGGAAGGUCCCCCACAUUGGAACUGAGACACGGUCCAA